CAGUAACUCUUUAACCAGUGUUGGAAGAAGACGUAUAAACCAGUGCGGUUGACCAGCGGGUGGUAAAUUCUCCUUCAGCUGCUACAGUUCUCCAGCCCAGGGUGUUGACUGGCUAGUCUUCAAUUGCCUCCCAACAUGGUAAUGAGGUCCUGAGCUGAUGUGAUCUGUGGCGAAGAGUGAAGUAGUUGCCUGAAGUAGCGUAUGGCACCCUUUCUAACCAGCAGCUGGCACCAACUUUGGCCAACAUCAGAGUGGACAAGGCCCAGAUCCUGUGGGAGACCUUCUACACUAACAUGUUAAAGGUUGUGGAGGGUCCUUCAAAACAACUUCAGGAACAGUGUACAGAAAAAUAGCCUAGUGAUGCUACAGGAGGUAGCAUGUUGUAUGUCAGAAAUAUAGAGGGCAAAAAAUAUGGAUUGGAAGUCCAGAACUUCAUCCUAGACUUUGAGGGUGUUGAUUGUUUGACAUUCAGAAUCAGGUUCUAAUGAAGAUUACAAUGGUAUCGAAGCAGUGACUGGCUAAAGUGUGGCCGUUUCUAAUCUGCACAUCUAUGAAGCUGGUUGUGGAGGGUCCUUUGAACAUCAUGAACUGUGUACAAAGAAAUAGCUGAAAGUAGCAUGGUUUUGUCAGAAUUAGAGGGCAAAGUACUUUGCUAGAUUACAAUGGUAUCAAAGCGAGUGGCUAAGUGUGGCUGUUCUACUAUGCACAUCUAUGAAGCUGGUUGUGGAGGGUCCUUGUAUGCUACAGAAAGUAGCACAGGGGCUGGCCAGCUGAGCAGACAGCACACUGGAGAUGUGGUCCCAGGUUGAAUCCUGGGUGCUGGCAAGAAAUGCUGGGCUGAGUUUUUCACCCUAUGCCCCUAAUAAGAAUUGGGAAGUUCAGCUCUUCAUCCUAGAGUUUGAAGGUGUUGACAUUCAGAAUGGGGGUCCUUUGACAUUGUGGAGGGUCCUUUGAAACGACUUCAGGCACAGCAUACAGAACAAUUGCCUAAAGUGAUAUGCUACAGGAAGUAGCAUGUUGUAUGUCAGAAUUAUAGAGGGCAUAAAAUAUGGAUUGGAAGUCCAGAACUUCAUCCUAGACUUUGAAGGUGUUGAUUGUUUGACAUUCAGAAUCAGGCAAGUGGUUCUAAUGAAGAUUACAAUGGUAUCAAAGCAGUGACUGGCUAAAGUGUGGCUGUUCUAAUGUGCACAUCUAUGAAGCUGGUUGUGGAGGGUCCUUCCAACAUAACUUCAGGAACUGUGUACAAAGCAAUUGCUGAAAGUAGCAUGGUUGUCCGAAUUAGAGGGCAAAAACUAUAGAAUAGGAAGUCCAGAACAACAUCCUAGAGUUUGAAGAUGGUGUUUGCUCGACAUUCAGAAUCGGGCGAGUGUGGUACUUUGCAAGAUUACAAUGGUAUCAAAGCAGCGAGUGGCUGUUCUACUCGGCACAUCUAUGAAGCUGGUUGUGGAGGGUGCUUCCAACAUAACUUCAGGAACAGUGUACAGAACAAUUGGUGGAACUUGUAUGCUACAGAAAGUAGCACAGGGGCUGGCCAGCUGAGCAGACAGCACACUGGAGAUGUGAUCCUGUGGUCCCAGGUUGAAUCCUGGGCCGAGUUUUUCACCCUAUGCCCCUAAUAAGAAUUGGGAAGUCCAGCUGUUCAUCCUAGAGUUUGAAGGUGUUGAUUGCUUGACAUUUGGAAUGGGGUGGUAAUGGAGAUUAUGAUUAUCAAGGAAUUGACUGGCUUAAGAAGUGUGGCUGUUCUACUCUGCACAUCCAAUAAACUGGUGGUUGUUGUCCUUGGUGCUCUGGAUGUUUUCCUGGCCUUUGAAGUUGUUUGGAGUCUUCAGUUGAAACCUCAACCUGAAACAUAAAAUUGUCAAUAUUAGUUAUAUUGUAUACUAUUUAAUAAAUCUUUUAAUGAAAA
rnacentral:lncRNA from 1 species